CAGUGUCUCAUUGCCCCAUGUCUCCCUGUGUCCCCAUGUAUCCCAGGGUCCCCAUGUCACUAGGACAUUAGGAAGGCGGGGAGACCUGGGGACACGGGGAGACCUAGGGACACGGAGACACCAGUGACACUGGGAGACUAGGGGACUCUGGCUGGGAUACAUGGGGACAAUGGGAAAGUAGGGGACACUUGAAGACAUGGGGACACAGACACCAGGGACACAGACACU